AGCGAACGCUGGCGGCAUGCUUAACACAUGCCAGUCGCACGGGCUGCAAUGUCAGUGGCUGACGGGUGAGUAACGCGUAGGAACGUGUCCUGAGGUGGGGGACAACCCCGGGAAACUGGGGCUAAUACCGCAUAUGGGCUGAGGCCCAAAGCCGAGAGGCGCCUUUGGAGCGGCCUGCGUCCGAUUAGGUAGUUGGUGGGGUAAAGGCCUACCAAGCCUGCGAUCGGUAGCUGGUCUGAGAGGACGACCAGCCACACUGGGACUGAGACACGGCCCAGACUCCUACGGGAGGCAGCAGUGGGGAAUAUUGGACAAUGGGCGAAAGCCUGAUCCAGCAAUGCCGCGUGGGUGAAGAAGGUCUUCGGAUCGUAAAGCCCUUUCGACGGGGACGAUGAUGACGGUACCCGUAGAAGAAGCCCCGGCUAACUUCGUG
rnacentral:rRNA from 1 species